rnacentral:tRNA from 1 species
GGAGAGGUGCCGGAGCGGCCGAACGGGGCGCACUCGAAAUGCGUUGACCCCUCGCGGGGUCCGGGGGUUCGAAUCCCUCCCUCUCCGCCA